AUUUGAUCCAUACUAGAAGUAGUACUACUACUCAAAUUGUACAAAUCUGGAUUUGUUUCAAAGUUUUGCAACUGAUGAUUCACAAUAUUGUUAUGUGGUGUUGGAUUUUGAUUAUUUGUAUCUGAUGAAAACCAAUAACCAGUACUAGUAACCAUUGAUGAUGAUCUUGGUUUAAUCUCUUCGCGAAUAAUACUUUCUUGAUGAUGACUAGCCAUCUAGCUAUAUAUACAUAUAAAGAUCUCAGCUUUAUAACUCUUUAAGUACUUUCAUGAUUCUUUUUUUUUCUCUGUGUUGUUUUUUUUCUCAAACAAAACAAGAAACAUGGUGUACAAUGAAAAAAAACAUCCUUAGAAAUUAG
rnacentral:misc_RNA from 1 species